rnacentral:tRNA from 1 species
GCGGGUAUAGCUUAAUGGUAAAGCUUCAGCCUUCCAAGCUGGCUAUGCGGGUUCGAUCCCCGCUACCCGCUCCA